rnacentral:rRNA from 1 species
UACGAAGGGGGCGAGCGUUUGUUCGGAUUUACUGGGCGUAAAGGGCGCGCAGGCGGCUAUCCAAGUCAGGCGUGAAAGCCCCGGGCUUAACCUGGGAGGUGCGUCUGGGACUGGGUGGCUAGAGUUCGGGAGAGGAGAGUGGAAUUCCCAGUGUAGAGGUGAAAUUCGUAGAUAUUGGGAAGAACACCGGUGGCGAAGGCGGCUCUCUGGACCGAGACUGACGCUGAGGCGCGAAAGCGUGGGGAGCAAACAGG